rnacentral:rRNA from 1 species
GAUGAACGCUGGCGGCGUGCCUAAUACAUGCAAGUCGAGCGAAUGGAUUAAGAGCUUGCUCUCAUGAAGUUAGCGGCGGACGGGUGAGUAACACGUGGGUAACCUGCCCAUAAGACUGGGAUAACUCCGGGAAACCGGGGCUAAUACCGGAUAACAUUUUGAACCGCAUGGUUCGAAAUUGAAAGGCGGCUUCGGCUGUCACUUAUGGAUGGACCCGCGUCGCAUUAGCUAGUUGGUGAGGUAACGGCUCACCAAGGCAACGAUGCGUAGCCGACCUGAGAGGGUGAUCGGCCACACUGGGACUGAGACACGGCCCAGACUCCUACGGGAGGCAGCAGUAGGGAAUCUUCCGCAAUGGACGAAAGUCUGACGGAGCAACGCCGCGUGAGUGAUGAAGGCUUUCGGGUCGUAAAACCCUGUUGUUAGGGAAGAACAAGUGCUAGUUGAAUAAGCUGGCACCUUGACGGUACCUAACCAGAAAGCCACGGCUAACUACGUGCCAGCCGCCGCUGUAA